CAUGUGGCAGGCAUAUAUAUAGAGACUUACUUAGACCUAUUAGGACAUUGUAAAUCCAAGCCAAUCCCUCUGCAAGUCUACUCUGUUUAGCAAGCCAAGUUAAUUUUCAUCAAGUUCUUGAUAUAUAGGGCCCACCAUGGAUUCUGAAUCAGACAGUGAAAGUCAAACUGUUGACUAUUUCAUUGAUAUCUUUGAAAAAAAUAACAGAUUUGGUGUGUACAAGGACUCAUCGUUCAAGGCAUUGAGUAACUUCAAGAUUGACUUUUCGUAUGGAGUUCAGAAUGAGGAUGGACCGUUGUCUAGAUAUAUAUGCACAGUCACCUUCAGUGAUGGAACUACUCUCGGAGAAGGAUAUUUUCCCAAUGAUUGGACCAAAGGUGGCAGACGAUCUCUCAUUGACUCACUAAGAUUUUCUGUGCACAAUCCUUCAAUCACCACUCAUGCAUCAAACACACAGCUCGAGGCUUACCUCAUGAAAAAGCUGGAGGAUUUCUAUUGCCUCAAGUCGGAGUCUGAAGAUCCACACCAUUACACGAAGCAAGUGGCACAACGAUUGUAGGUCUGCAACCACAUUCUGAACUUUGGGUGUUCAACGGUCAAGUGCACAUGAAUGCCGAUAGGGAUCUAGUAGAUCCAAAAACUAGUCCAUUCAUUUGGCUCGGGGACUACGUUUCAGACAG